CUAGGGUCAUUAUAAGAAGAGGAGAAGACAUACAGAGAUACCUAGACAAGAUGACCAUGUGAAGACAGAGGCAGAGCGAGGUUGAAAUGAUGCAGCUAUAAGCCAAGGAAGACCAAGGAUUGCUGGAAGCCUUCAGCAGCCAGGAAGUGACUUCACUUCCAUCAACUCAACAGUUAACACUUAGUAGUACCUGGAGAGAUCCAUAUGGAGACAGAGCUGUCUGACAGAACUUAUCGUCUUCAUGCAAGAAAGCAGCCAAAUACAAACCUUGGUCUAUCAGAGGGAGACAGAGAUAAGGAAACUAAAACUGAGAGACAUCAGGUCAACUGUAUGUGGUCUUACAGCAAAGAAGUGACAGCACCAAGAUUUGUACCCUAGUCUCUCAGAAUCCUAGGCUGUGAUCUUCAUCGCUCUGCUGUGCCUUCAGUAUACCACUCUGCUAUUGAU